rnacentral:rRNA from 1 species
UACGUAGGGUGCGAGCGUUAAUCGGAAUUACUGGGCGUAAAGCGUGCGCAGGCGGUUAUUUAAGACCGUUGUGAAAUCCCCGGGCUCAACCUGGGAACUGCAUCUGUGACUGCAUAGCUAGAGUACGGUAGAGGGGGAUGGAAUUCCGCGUGUAGCAGUGAAAUGCGUAGAUAUGCGGAGGAACACCGAUGGCGAAGGCAAUCCCCUGGACCUGUACUGACGCUCAUGCACGAAAGCGUGGGGAGCAAACAGG